AUGUUUUCUUUUCCACCAUCCCAUCAUCACAGAACUUCACUUUCUGACAUCAUAAAGCCCUCUGUGCCAGAACAACCAAUUAGGCAUCGAUGGAUGGAGGAGCCUGUAACUCAAAGGCUCUUUUUUUCCAUUUGUCUUCCAAGAGCAGUGAUGGUUGCUUUUCAGACCCACACAGACUCCAUCUGUGUCAGACCCUCCAACAGAAUGGUUACAUACGUCUCUUUAGGGGCACCUUGCCCACUUUGUGGAUUCAGUAUUGUCUCAAUCAUGUUCCGGUUUCCUUUUGGCAUUUGUCACACACCUGGAGCCUUUGUGUCCUCCCUCUAUGCUGUCAUCGUGUGGUUACUCAGCAAUUGCCAACUGGUUUUUCAUAUUAACCCAAGAAAAACAUCAUUAGGAAUGAUAGAAGGAGAGAGACGAUGGAGCAGUUAUUUCCAUGGAGUAAGAUUGGAUGCCAUCUUUAGGUUUCUUCUCUGUAUUUUAAUGUGUUGAGUGAUUUAUUUUCAUCAUUAUCAUGUAACAUUCUACAAAAUCUGUUAUUCAAGUGCUGGACUGGAACAAAAAAAGAAUUGCUGGUACCUUCUCCUACUUCUCAGACUCCUUUCUGACCAGCUAGCAGGGGCAUGAGGGAAUGAGCAUGGUUGUCAGGGUGCGAAAUGUCCUAUCUGUGCAUUAUCUCCGGAAUUAUUUUCUAUCUGCACCAAAAUAUGAAUUUCCUAACAACUCAAGUUAUCAACUCCCCCUUGGAAGCAUCUAUCAGUUCUGGAAAAAUGAAUGUCUAAAGUAAAUUGCAGUAAUCUAGAAUGAACAUAAAUAUUCAAAGAUGGGGGCAGUGGAAUGGUUUCCAUUUCCUCACCUGGAAUCCCCACCUUCUGAGUCAGCCAUCCAGGGAACAAGGCAACAAUAGGGACAAAUACUUUGCAACCCCCUAAGGACCAAAUCCUUUAUUCAUGAAUUACCUGGGACCUUUAAGAAAAAUACAAUUUCUAAAGGAAGUCAAUAAAAGUAAAAGAAAACUUGUUCUAGCCA
rnacentral:lncRNA from 12 species